rnacentral:rRNA from 1 species
CCUACGGGAGGCAGCAGUGGGGGAUAUUGCACAAUGGGGGAAACCCUGAUGCAGCGACGCCGCGUGAGUGAAGAAGUAUUUCGGUAUGUAAAGCUCUAUCAGCAGGGAAGAAACAAGACGGUACCUGACUAAGAAGCCCCCGCUAACUACGUGCCAGCAGCCGCGGGAAGACGUAGGGGGCAAGAGUUAUCCGGAUUUACUCGGUGUAAAGGGAGCGUAGACGGCAAUACAAGUCGGAAGUGAAAUACCCGGGCUCAACCUGGGAAUUGCUUUGGAAACUGUAUGGCUGGAGUGCUGGAGAGGUAAGCGGAAUUCCUAGUGUAGCGGUGAAAUGCGUAGAUAUUAGGAGGAACACCAGUGGCGAAGGCGGCUUACUGGACAGUAACUGACGUUGAGGCUCGAAAGCGUGGGGAGCAAACAGGAUUAGAUACCCGGGUAGUC